AGUGAACGCUGGCGGUAGGCCUAACACAUGCAAGUCGAACGGCAGCACAGUAAGAGCUUGCUCUUACGGGUGGCGAGUGGCGGACGGGUGAGGAAUACAUCGGAAUCUACUUUUUCGUGGGGGAUAACGUAGGGAAACUUACGCUAAUACCGCAUACGACCUACGGGUGAAAGCAGGGGAUCUUCGGACUUUGCGCGAUUGAAUGAGCCGAUGUCGGAUUAGCUAGUUGGCGGGGUAAAGGCCCACCAAGGCGACGAUCCGUAGCUGGUCUGAGAGGAUGAUCAGCCACACUGGAACUGAGACACGGUCCAGACUCCUACGGGAGGCAGCAGUGGGGAAUAUUGGACAAUGGGCGAAAGCCUGAUCCAGCCAUACCGCGUGGGUGAAGAAGGCCUUCGGGUUGUAAAGCCCUGUUGUUGGGAAAGAAAAGCAGCAGGUUAAUACCCCGCUGUUCUGACGGUACCCAAAGAAUAAGCACCGGCUAACUUCGUG
rnacentral:rRNA from 1 species